UUAAAGGGCUGCAGUAUAUUGACUGUACAAAGGUAGCAUAAUCAUUAGUCAUUUAAUUGAUGACUUGUAUGAAGGAUUGGAUGAAAUAUAAACUGUCUCUUAAUUAUAUUUAGAAUUUAAUUUUUUAGUUAAAAAGUUAAAAUAAAUUAGAAAGACGAGAAGACCCUAUAGAGUUUUAUAGAUAAAAUUAAUUGAGAUUAUUUGUAAAGGUUAAAAUUAAAAUUAAUUUAUUUAUUUUGUUGGGGUGACAGAAAAAUAUGAAAAACUUUUUAUAUGUUUAAAACAUUAAUAAGUGGUUAAAUGAUCCAGUAUUAUUGAUUAUAAGAAAAAAUUACCUUAGGGAUAACAGCGUAAUUUUUUUUUUUAGUUCACAUAAAAAAAAAAGUUUGCGACCUCGAUGUUGGAUUAAGAUAAAAUUUAAAUGCAGAAG
rnacentral:rRNA from 1 species